UACAGAGGGUGCAAGCGUUAAUCGGAAUCAUUGGGCGUAAAGGGUGCGUAGGUGGUUGAAUAAGUCAGAUGUGAAAUCCCUGGGCUUAACCUAGGAAUUGCAUUUGGUACUGUUCAGCUAGAGUGCAGUAGAGGAAAGUGGAAUUUCCGGUGUAGCGGUGAAAUGCGUAGAUAUCGGAAGGAACAUCAGUGGCGAAGGCGACUUUCUGGACUGUAACUGACACUGAGGCACGAAAGCGUGGGGAGCGAACAGG
rnacentral:rRNA from 1 species